AGCGAACGCUGGCGGCAGGCCUAACACAUGCAAGUCGAACGAACCUUUCGGGGUUAGUGGCGGACGGGUGAGUAACACGUGGAUAACCUACCUAUAAGACUGGGAUAACUUCGGGAAACCGGAGCUAAUACCGGAUAACAUGUUGAACCGCAUGGUUCAACAGUGAAAGACGGUCUUGCUGUCACUUAUAGAUGGAUCCGCGCCGCAUUAGCUAGUUGGUAAGGUAACGGCUUACCAAGGCAACGAUGCGUAGCCGACCUGAGAGGGUGAUCGGCCACACUGGAACUGAGACACGGUCCAGACUCCUACGGGAGGCAGCAGUAGGGAAUCUUCCGCAAUGGGCGAAAGCCUGACGGAGCAACGCCGCGUGAGUGAAGAAGGUCUUCGGAUCGUAAAACUCUGUUAUUAGGGAAGAACAAAUGUGUAAGUAACUAUGCACGUCUUGACGGUACCUAAUCAGAAAGCCACGGCUAACUACGUG
rnacentral:rRNA from 1 species